rnacentral:rRNA from 1 species
GAGAGUCGAGCGGAUGAAGGAGCUUGCUCCUGGAUUCAGCGGCGGACGGGUGAGUAAUGCCUAGGAAUCUGCCUGGUAGUGGGGGACAACGUUUCGAAAGGAACGCUAAUACCGCAUACGUCCUACGGGAGAAAGCAGGGGACCUUCGGGCCUUGCGCUAUCAGAUGAGCCUAGGUCGGAUUAGCUAGUUGGUGAGGUAAUGGCUCACCAAGGCGACGAUCCGUAACUGGUCUGAGAGGAUGAUCAGUCACACUGGAACUGAGACACGGUCCAGACUCCUACGGGAGGCAGCAGUGGGGAAUAUUGGACAAUGGGCGAAAGCCUGAUCCAGCCAUGCCGCGUGUGUGAAGAAGGUCUUCGGAUUGUAAAGCACUUUAAGUUGGGAGGAAGGGCAGUAAGUUAAUACCUUGCUGUUUUGACGUUACCGACAGAAUAAGCACCGGCUAACUCUGUGCCAGCAGCCGCGGUAAUACAGAGGGUGCAAGCGUUUAUUCGGGAUUACUGGGAUUAAACCGCGCG